rnacentral:rRNA from 1 species
GAUGAACGCUGGCGGCGUGCCUAAUACAUGCAAGUCGAGCGAACAGACGAGGAGCUUGCUCCUCUGACGUUAGCGGCGGACGGGUGAGUAACACGUGGAUAACCUACCUAUAAGACUGGGAUAACUUCGGGAAACCGGAGCUAAUACCGGAUAAUAUAUUGAACCGCAUGGUUCAAUAGUGAAAGACGGUUUUGCUGUCACUUAUAGAUGGAUCCGCGCCGCAUUAGCUAGUUGGUAAGGUAACGGCUUACCAAGGCAACGAUGCGUAGCCGACCUGAGAGGGGGCGGGGCCACACUGGAAGUGAGACACGGCCCAGCCUCCGAGGGGAGGCACAAGUAGGGAAUCUUCCGAAAUGGGCGAAAGCCUGACGGAGCAACGCGGCGGGAGUGAUGAAGGUCUUGGGAUCUAAAAACUCUGUUAUGGGGGAAAAACAAAUGUGUAAGUAACUAUGCACGUCUUGAGGGUACCUAAUCAGAAAGCCCCGGCUAACUACGUG